CUCUGCUCCACCACCGCCGCUCCACAUCGCGGCUUUUCUCCCUCCCCUCCGUCUCUCUCUCCGCCAGGCAUCCCAGACGCGGAGGCGGAGAUACCUUGCUCCCCGCACGAGAUUGUGGUCUCAACCUCCUGACGGCGACGGCGAGCCUCUCGGAGGCCACCUCCGAUCUAAGAGAAUCAUUAGCAGAACUAUUGAACCCUGAGUUUUCAUUUAUUUCGUCUUGGUUAUUGUGAGAAUGCGGAGGUUCAAUCCCUUUGGGGGGAAAGUACAGACUGGACUGGAAGGCCGCACCAUUGAUGUAAGGAAUGUGAAGAUCACAGUACGCAAUGCCAUUGCACAAGGAGGUUUCUCUUGUGUGUAUCUCGCAUGUGACGCGUUGCACUCGUCAAAGCAGUAUGCAUUGAAGCAUAUCAUUUGCAAUGACUCGGAAUCGCUUGAUCUUGUCACGAAGGAGAUCCAGGUGAUGAAUCUCCUCAAAGGGCAUGCCAAUGUCGUCACACUGGUUGCCCAUGAUGUUUUUGACAUGGGCCGCACAAAGGACGCAUUGCUUGUGAUGGAGUUUUGUGAGAAGUCCUUGGUGAGUGUGAUUGAGAGCAGAGGUACUGGUUACUAUGAGGAGAAGAAGGCGCUUUUGAUAUUCAGAGACGUCUGCAAUGCAGUUUUUGCUAUGCAUGGGCAGUCACCACCAAUUGCACAUAGGGAUCUUAAAGCCGAAAAUGUUCUUCUUGGAUUAGAUGGUGCAUGGAAACUAUGUGACUUUGGAAGCACGUCAACAAAUCAUAAAUGCUUUGACAAGCCAGAAGAUAGGGGGAUUGAGGAAGAUAUCAUUAGGAAGCAUACGACCCCGGCGUAUAGAGCACCUGAGAUGUGGGAUCUCUACAGAAGAGAAGUUAUUAGUGAAAAAGUUGAUAUUUGGGCCCUGGGAUGUCUUCUCUAUAGAAUAUGCUACUUCAAAUCCGCAUUUGAUGGAGAGUCGAAGUUGCAGGUCCUUAAUGGCAAUUAUCGCAUUCCAGAACAACCCAAGUACAGCACCAGUGUCACAGGGCUGAUCAAAGAUAUGCUGGAAGCAUCUCCAAAUGCCAGACCAGAUAUCACACAGGUCUGGUUUCGUGUUAACGAACUACUGCCUCUUGAGUUACAGAAGAGUUUACCUGAUGGGGCUUCAGCAGCAAUUUCUAUGGGCUUGCAGGACGAUGGUGCUUAUAAAAGAACACAUGUGACGCCUAAAAGGAACCCUCCUGCACCUCCAAGAGAACAAUCUGAUAACUCAUCAUCUCAUGGAAGUGCAAACGCCGGAGAUGCACCUCUGGGUGCAUUUUGGGUGACCCAACAUGCACAGGGUUCUCAAGUUGUUGAUAAUAGGAAUCCCUUGUUUGACGAGGAGCCAAUUAAACCAUCACCUUCAUCAAAGUAUAACCAAAGUAGGGUGGAUAUCAGCACCACUACCCCUGGAGAUAGGCAUGGUCAUUCUGGUCAGGUUUUGCGAAAUACAGCAAGUAACACUGUAUCCAGUAAUGGACUUAAGGGUGGUUCGGACAUAAAUCUUUUCAUGGAACCACAAGGUUAUGUGAAAAAUAAAGCAUCACAGCCACAAAGCAAGACUAUAUCUGCGAAAGAUCCCUUCAACAGUUUUGUCGCAGAUUUUGAUGCAAACAAUCUGCACUCAGGGACUACUGCUACUGGUAGGAUAUCCGAGCUUGAAGCUGAAGUGUCCAAUCUGAAGGAGCAGUUGAAGAAAACCACGUCGGAGAAGGCUGAGAUGACAGCCAAGUAUGAAAAGCUGUCGGCAAUCUGCCGCUCCCAGCGCCAAGAAAUUCAAGAGCUGAAGCGCACCGUUGCUGAGACUACACCACCGCCUUCAAGUAAAGUCAGCUCAAGGAUACCAGAACUUGGAUCCCAGCGGAAGGAGAGGAUUGAAGGAACGGUGUGGGAACUAGAGCAAGGAAUGCUCUCAGGCAACUCCUCGGUACCCAGCUCUGAGGCAAAGACAUGGCAGGCAUUCCCUGAGGCAAAAGCUCAGGCCAGGCCAAAGGUCGACCAUGCAACCAAUGGGAGGCAAAACCUAACACGGAACACGAAUGCGGGGCCUUCCCCUGAUGCGUGGGGUUUCGGCACAUCAUCGGGUAGCACUGCUGCAGCAACACAGAUGAACAGAACAAAUGCCAAGGUGAGUUCCUCCCAGAGAUUGAGCACGGGGGCAGCAAAGAAAGUAGAUCAGCCAUCAGGAUGGGCCGGAUUCUAGCUUCUCAUCAGCACGCGGUAAUCUCGGUUCUCUUGUUUCUAAUCACAGGCUACUCUGCAAGUUGCAAAAGGAUGAGAUUUGUUGUGAUUGUUGCCUGCCAAAAUUCGUUAUUUUAAGGGUGUUGAUAGUUGCUUGAGCCGACCUGGACGCCGGUUUUUCUGCGGUCGUUUGUCAAGUGCCUUGUUAAUAAAUUUUUAUGUUUACAUAUGUAUAUCUACUUGUACCUUGUACCAUGUGGAACUGUGGAAAUGUCCCUUUUAACUUGUGCUGUAAAAAGGACCGUAUGCUGAUUUACUCUUUCCUGAGCUUACUCUCAAAGUGCUGCG
rnacentral:rRNA from 1 species